rnacentral:rRNA from 1 species
AAUGGAGGAAACUCUGAUGCAGCAACGCCGCGUGAAGGAUGAAGGUUUUCGGAUUGUAAACUUCUUUUGUCGGGGACGAAAAAAAUGACGGUACCUGACGAAUAAGCCACGGCUAACUACGUGCCAGCAGCCGCGGUAAUACGUAGGUGGCAAGCGUUAUCCGGAUUUACUGGGUGUAAAGGGCGAGUAGGCGGGAUCAUAAGUCAGAUGUGAAAUCUGGGGGCUCAACCCCCAAACUGCAUUUGAAACUAUGAUUCUUGAGUGAUGGAGAGGCAGGCGGAAUUCCCGGUGUAGCGGUGGAAUGCGUAGAGAUCGGGAGGAACACCAGUGGCGAAGGCGGCCUGCUGGACAUUAACUGACGCUGAGGAGCGAAAGCGUGGGGAGCAAA